CUCUUAACCUCUGAGCCAUCUCUCCAGCCCAUACAACUUCAUUUUUAAAAAGACAAAGUAAUCUGUCUGUGCAAUUAACUCCAGACUUUCCCUCUGCUAUAUUUUCCCCUAUUAUUGCCCUUCUAAAACUUUAUAUGAAUGGCAUCAUAUUGAGCUAGGUGUAGUAGUCCCCGUCUAUAAUCCCAACCUUUGGAAGACUGAGGCAGGAAAGUCAUGAGUUCAAGUCCAGCCUGAGCUCAGAGAAGUUGGAGGCAGGAAAGAGAACCUGUUUUCAAAAUUCACAAACAAGUACUAGAAUUGUAAGUCUUUUCCUACAUCAUGGUUUUGCUGGUCACCCUGCUGGGCAUAAGCCCGCUCCAGACAUUGCCUAAUGCCACUGACUAGUCCAUUCCCAGAGUGGGCACUUGAGAGCUGGCUUCUUUCUGGCCAUUCUAAGUAGAGCUACUGUAGGUAUCCUUGCAGAACUGUGUGCAGGUUUUACAGGCAUCCAUCAGUCAAGCUCUCCACAAGGUCCGUGGUUGUGACCUUGCUAACGUCUCUUCAUCUAAAUGUAAUAGAGCUGAUCAGAUUCCCCUGUUGUGUUCAUAGCCACUGUGACCCAGCUAAUGUUGUCUCUGCUUCUGAGCCUGGUGAUCUGGGCUCACCGCUGGGAUAUCCCUCUCGCCACCCAGUUUCCAAGUGUCAUGGCACUACCGCAUGCAGCCACCAGGGAGCGCUCAUUCACUUUGUAGGAUUUCAGCUCGAGCCUGCAAAGAAACACAAUGUUCUAGCAGGAAGUAAGUCUUAAGACUUUUCCCCGCUGGUGUUUCUUGCUCUGUAGUAUUUAACAGUGGUGUCUGUUCCGUUGUUCGGUGUUUACUGAAUACCCACUGGGUCUCCGGCAUUGUGCCACGCACUGGGGGCGGCACAGAAACAGAAGGCGUGCUGCCUCUGGAAGCCUCCGGCACAAUGGGAGACAUCCAGAAAAGUGUCAACCCUGAUGCUGGCUGAAUCCCAAGGAGAUUUUAUUUGGCACCGAAUUCAACCUGAGAGAAGUGCGCGGGAGGCCAGGCGAGGGCGUCGGAUUCCCUGGAGCCGGAGUUCCAGGCCACUGUGAGCUGACAGAUAUGGGGGCUGGGAGCCAAGCCCAAGUCCUCUACAAGAGCAUCAAGUGCUCCUAACCCUGCGACACCACUCCAGCCCGCCUAAACGUUCUUGACAUCAAACACCAGCGGGGCAAAGUGUGACUCGCAAAAAUAAAUGAAGUGGCAGGUAAA